rnacentral:rRNA from 1 species
UUUCUCGGACCUACCACCCUGAAUGAGCCCGAUCUCGUCUGAUCUCGGAAGCUAAGCAGGGUCAGGCCUGGUUAGUACUUGGAUGGGUGACCGCCUGGGAAUACCAGGUGCUGUAAGCU